GCCAGCACCUACAUUACUCUGCAACUCACAACUGACAACCCACUGAAGCUCAGCAGGUGUGAGCCUGGUCAGUACCUGGAUGGGAGACCUCCUGGGAAAAACUAAGGUUGCUGCUGGAA
rnacentral:rRNA from 1 species